UCUUCUGUCAGCUUAUUCUGCACUCCCUCUUGCCACUGAAGUCCCUAUGAGUCCAAGAAAGCUACUCCCUGUGUAUCACCCUCAGAGCUCCUGAACUUGGUUGCUAAGGCACAGUUCUGCUUGUUUUCAAAAUGAUGUAUGCAUGUUGUUGUCUCUCCCAAAGCCUGUAAGCUCCAUGGAGAACAGAGGCUUUUUUUUUUAUCUUCACAACAUCUGCAUUGAGUUAUCUGAUAGAUAUUCAAUAAAUGUUUGAAUGAACAGAAAUAAAAUCCAGACAUGCUAGAAAUGAUGACUGAACCACAAUCAAUAAGGCCAAGACUGGCUCUUGAGAGCCUCCUGAGAAAGGCAAAUCACCCAAACGUGGUCCACAGCAGAGCUUUCUGCAUGAUGUAAUGCAGGCUCUCCUUCUGGGAAGUACUUCACAUUCCUGAUUAAAUGCUUGUUUCUGAUAUUCCUAAAUGACUGAGAACUUCUGGGAAGUUAGGGUUGAACCCCCGUGGACUGACUGGCCUAAUUAUCUUCAAACAUACUGUUUGUUUUGCUUUUAAACACAGUUCAUCCAAGACUAUUUAAAUGUAAAAGUUCAUUCAUUUUCUCUACCUUGCCAUCCAGUUCUCCCUGUCCCUAAGAGCAGACAUUUGGUGACUCUGGAAGGAUGCAUGGUUCUCACAUGAAGGGAGGGAGGGACCAGACAGCACGUAUAAGGGGUAGGAGCCACAUGCAAUCCCCUAUAACAAGAGGAAUGAUGAGGCUAAGCACCCUGGGAGACUGACAGCCUGGCAGGGAUGGUUCAUGCUUUAUGGGCUCACGAUGGAGCAUGGGGUUUAUACCUCAAUAAGAUGACAUGGACUUGACCAGGAUUCUCU
rnacentral:lncRNA from 1 species